UCCUCUGACGAUUAGCGGCGGACGGGUGAGUUAACACGUGGAUAACCUACCUUAUAAGACUGGGAUAACUUCGGGAAACCGGAGCUAAUACCGGAUAAUAUAUUGAACCGCAUGGUUCAAUAGUGAAAGACGGUUUUGCUGUCACUUAUAGAUGGAUCCGCGCCGCAUUAGCUAGUUGGUAAGGUAACGGCUUACCAAGGCAACGAUGCGUAGCCGACCUGAGAGGGUGAUCGGCCACACUGGAACUGAGACACGGUCCAGACUCCUACGGGAGGCAGCAGUAGGGAAUCUUCCGCAAUGGGCGAAAGCCUGACGGAGCAACGCCGCGUGAGUGAUGAAGGUCUUCGGAUCGUAAAACUCUGUUAUUAGGGAAGAACAAAUGUGUAAGUAACUAUGCACGUCUUGACGGUACCUAAUCAGAAAGCCACGGCUAACUACGUGCCAGCAGCAGCGGUAAUACGUAGGUGGCAAGCGUCAUCCGGAAUUAUUGGGCGUAAAGCGCGCGUAGGCGGUUUUUUAAGUCUGAUGUGAAAGCCCACGGCUCAACCGUGGAGGGUCAUUGGAAACUGGAAAACUUGAGUGCAGAAGAGGAAGUUGGAAUUCCAUGUGUACCGGUGAAA
rnacentral:rRNA from 1 species